rnacentral:rRNA from 1 species
UACGUAGGUGGCUUGGUAAGUCGAAUGUGAAAGCCCUGGGCUUAACCUGGGAACUGCAUCCGAAACUGCCUGGCUGGAGUAAGGGAGAGGGAAGUGGAAUUUCCGGUGUAGCGGUGAAAUGCGUAGAUAUCGGAAGGAACACCAGUGGCGAAGGCGACCUCCUGGCCCAUUACUGACACUGAGGUACGAAAGCGUGGGGAGCAAACA